rnacentral:lncRNA from 1 species
UUUUUUUUUUUUUUUGAGGGCUACUGCGGUGUUGUACUGCCUUCCACCAAUGCUGCGCAGCGCAGGGCAGGAGAGGAUUGCAGGAGGAGGAGCUGAGGGCUGAGGCUGAGCAAAGCCGCCAAAGCCCAGCCCAGUAGGUUGGCUAUAAAACCCCCGCACUGCAUCUGCCGUCCUCCGCCUCUCCCCUUUUGCAUGCCUCACCGGCCUCUCCACCUCCUCCCCCUCCGCCUCCCUCCAAUUCGAUACCACUGCUAACCCCUGCUCCCCCAAUCCGGAUCCCCCCAACCGAUCCCCCGGAUUCGCCGUCCCAUCUUCCCGUGCCGGGUCCGCGAUUCCAUCCCCACUCCCGCAAUCUGAUCGGAUCUUUCGUCUCCCUGGUGGGUUUUGAUUUCCCAUCGUUUUUUCUUGGAUUGCGUGUGUGUGUGUUUCGGAGCGUUGUUGAUUGGUAUGGAGAUGAGGGGUGCGAAGGCGGCGGCGGCGGCGGCGGAGAGGACGGAGGAGAAAGAGAUGGACUUGCUCCUCAGCGAGAUCCCCCACGUCACGUCGCCGCAGGAGCAGCGCGGCGUCGGCGUCAUCGGCCACGGCAACGGCGUUCAUGGUGCCGCGGGCGCCCACGGGUACGCCGCGCCGCGCUACGGCGAGGACGGCUACUUCGCCAUGGUCCUGAACCGUCGCGAUGAUGGUGCUCCACCCCAGGGCGGCGGCGGCGGUGGUGGCGGCGGCGCUGCAGGGGGCGUGGGCUUCGCCGCGCCGCUUCCCCUGGGCUCCGCGCCAUCGCGGGUGUCAGGACCGUUCGUCGGGGGCGCGGCGCUGUCGCCGCCGCCGCUGGCGCGGGCGGUUGGCGACCCGGAGCAGCAGUGGCUCGCGAACCAGCUCCGCGGCCUGCGCAUUGGGGACGCGCAGGCCGCGCUCCAGCGCCAGGGCCCGCCGCCGGUCAAGAGCGCGACCCCGACUGAUGUCUCUGCGGCGCUCGGCGCGUACAAUGGGUACAACUUCGCGGCGCCAGGUUCUUCCGUCCACCAUGAGCACGUGUUCCUUGAUCAGGCCAAAGCGGUGGGGUACGUCGCCCCGCGGCCGCAGUGCUUCGUGUCGGACGUCGGCUUGGAUGGCUACGGCGGCUUCCCCAGAGGCUUGGACACCAGCAUUGGCGGCUUCGUGUACAAUAGGGUAGGGCAUGGCACUGGCAUUGGCUGGGGCCAAGGUUUGGUGCACCCUGAUCUCGCCGAGUCCUACUUGCUUUCCAGGCACACUGGUGCAGAGUUUUUCAGGACGAAUCCGGUUGCUCUUGACGUCCGCGGUGGACCAAAGCUACAAUAUGCAUAUGGUGUCCCCAUGGCAGAUAACAUGUUUGCUAGAAGUGCAAACCAGUUUGAGGCAUUCCGAUGUGAGAACAGUCUGAUGUUUGAUGGGAAGAAGAACAUGAACUUCUUGGAACGUGGGAAGGAGAGGAGAUUCCAGCAGUUUGCCAAUACCAGGGCACUGGAGCUUGGGAAUUCUAGGACUAUGAGGUAUGAGAACAUGGUUCGGGUCAAGGAAUACAUCUACUUCAUGGCCAAGGACCAGUAUGGGUGCCGGUAUUUGCAGCAGAAGUUUGAUGAAGGGAAGCAUCAUGUUGAUGUGAUCUUUGAAGGAAUCAUCAACCACAUUGCAGACCUUAUGACCAACUCUUUUGCCAACUAUCUUGUACAGAAGAUGCUGGUCGUGUGUGAUGACGAGCAAAGGCUGAGGAUCAUUGCUGUGCUGACACAGGAUCCUGUGAAGCUGGUUGCUAUCUCUCAAAACAUGCAUGGGUAAUGCUCUUUUCUUCUGAAAAUUAAUCAGAUAAUUGCGCUAUGAUCCCUGUCUGAUAUUAGAAGCAUUAGUACUUGUUAACCAAUUAUGGCAAUUGCUGAUUUUAGAAUGUUGUUGUUUGAGUCAGUACAAUGAAGUAUGCAGGCAUUAACGAGUGUGUUGUGAUGCUAACAUUUCAUUGCGGACCCAUUUUGUUUAGUGAGGGCAUGCAACGAUGCUGAUGAUUUGGUUGUCUUGAUUUGUUUCAGGACAAGGGCAGUGCAGAAAUUGAUAGAGACUGUUACGACCAGAGAGCAGAUUGUGCUCAUUACUUCAGCCCUACAGCCAGCCUUCAUCGAGCUUGUCAAUGACCCUAAUGGUAAUCAUGUAAUACAGAAGUGCCUGACAAACUUUGGGGCGGAGGAUAACAAGGUACAUAAUAGUUCCUAGUUUGCGAACUUGUUUCUUCUGUUUGUAAAUUCUGACUUGGAGUAAGUAGCUGUCGCAUUCUUUCUCAUGUCACUGACUUUUGAGUAACUGGCAGUCUGGCACAUAAGUUAGAGAAAUGAUGCUGGACACAUGUAAUUUACUGGCUGCGGAUACCAAACAGUUUGCAUGAUUUUAGCGCAAGCACAAGCAUUUCAUAAUUUCAGUUAGCAAUGUGUGUUCAUAUGCAUCUUCAAUCAGACAUUUUCUUGCAUCAAGUAGUUCUCUUCAAAUGACUUUGCUCGAGCUGUUUCUUUUAAAAUAUUUUUGCUUACAGACUAGCAAACAUUUAACCAUCCAUCAGUAUGUAAAUAUGUUUUUCUUGAAUCUCUGCUUGUGUAUGAAUUAGCCUACCACAGUUUACUAUGGUAUUUUCUCCAGAGGCUUUGUUUGGAUACGAAAACAGUAUCAUUUAAUUUUAUUUUUUUGCGUAUUCAUGAAAUUAUGAGGUCUGUAUCCACCUGAAUUCAAGAUUGCAGGGACGAAUUGAGACAUUUAGAAAGUUUGGGAUCUGAAAUGAAAUAAUACACAAAAUUCAACUGCAUUCAGUAACUAAUAACCAAACUGUAGCUAUGCUUUACUAAAUUAUCUGUGUUUAAGUGCCAAGGACCAUUUCUUUAUGCAUGUCGUUUCAUAGUGGUGGUGAUGUCUUACGAUCUGCCUUAAGAACCUCACUCCUCUUGUUAUUGACUUUCACUAUGAGAUCUUGUGCUUUUUUUCACAUAACUUGUGCAUGGGAAUACAUGUUCUGUGCAUGCACAUGGUUUUUAUGCACUAGUGAUAGAGAAAUUAGGGGGUAGAUACGAUCAUGUUGCUAAUUUUCAGUUCCUAGGAUUUUUCAAGUGAAAAUUACAAGGUCCUUGUCUGUAUGCUCAAAUUUUCAUAUUAGUAUAGUACUUCAUAUAUUAUCUUGCCGGAGAUCAAUGUUAUGUCAUGAAAUUCUUCUGCUAGCAAAUAUAUGCUAAGUAUGCAUUGAUCUUACUUUACUAGAGUAUCUGCAGCAUAUUUAUAUUUACUUUUUUAAACAGUUCAUAUUCGAGGCUGCUGCAGUUAAUUGUUUUGAUAUGGCAAUACAUCGCCAUGGAUGCUGUGUUCUGCAACGUUGCAUAUCUUGUGCACGUGGUGGAUACCAAGCCAAGCUAAUUGUGGAAAUAUGUGCUCAUGGCUUUGAGCUUGCUCAAGAUCCAUUUGGGUAAACCCUUCGUUGCUUAUAAUGUAUAUUGUUGCAAGAAACAACAUUACUUUGUGCUUGUUUUUCCCAUACAGUACUGAUCUGUCCGGUAGAUUGUAGUCCUCCUUGUACCUUGUUAGCUCACUGCUUUAAUUUAGUGUAGAAAAUAUAUGUUUCCCUUGUUAAUAUAAACCUGUAUAUAUGUAUCUUAGUUCAAAUUCUAUGCAUGUUCCAAAAGUUUUCUCAGUGGUCCUGUGUAGAUAUCUUCAGAAGAUAACAUAUUGUAUUACCAUGGACAGUGAUUAGUGAAAUAAAAAAAAAGUAUGAUGGUAUUAUAAACUUUGUGCCAAGCCGCUACCUAGAUGGACUGAAUGGUUUCCACCUUUACUUUUCUAAAAAACAAAGGGCACUCAACCUGUUUGAAUAGGCAGGGAUUUGUCCAAUUCCCUUAGAUUGGCAUGCUUUAUUCAUUCAAGGGGGGUGAUCCUAAUCCCCUUCGUUCAUACAAGCCUAAAAUGUUUAGUUUAUAUAUUACUCCCUCCGUUUCAAAUUGUAGGUCGUUUUAGCUUUUCUAGGUUCAGCAAAAGCUAUGCACCUAGAUAUAAUAUAUGUCUAGAUGCAUAAUAAUAUUUAUGAACCUAGAAAACUAUGCACUAGAAAAGCCAAAACAACAUACAAUUUGGGACGGAGGGAGUAUAUUUUUACGAUUUUGUUUCUCUAUACUGCUGGCAAUAUUCAACUGUAUCCACUCAUCCCACAAAACUAAGAUUGCUUUCCCAUUUUCCCUUAUUCACAGGAACUAUGUGGUACAGUAUGUUCUGAAUCUGAAAAUUCCUUCUGCAAAUGCUCACUUGGCAUCUCAGUUUGAAGGAGGGUAUGUUUAUCUCUCAAAGCAGAAGGUGAGCAGCAAUGUGGUGGAGAAAUGCCUGAAGAAUUUCCCGGAUGAUGCCAAAGCUGUCAUAGUGCAUGAAUUGCUCAGUGGGUCUCAUUUUGAACAAUUGCUGCAAGACCCUUACGCCAACUACGUCAUCCACACCGCCCUUCUCAACACCAGGGUGAGUAUGCCAUAGCACAGAAAUUCAUCAUCUACAUUGCGUUCCCUCCUUCACAAAUGUUUUUUCCUCCAUGGCAGGGCCAUCUUCACAAUGCCCUUGUCGAAGCUAUCCGUCCUCAUGAGGACGCCAUCCGGACCAGCCCCUGUUGCAAAAGGAUCUCCAGGGCCCUCUCCAGGAGGUGAGAGAGGUGUACAACCUGUAUACCAAGAAGGCUACCUGUAUUUCAUUGUUGUCAAUUUAUGUUCACUAUAAUGUACUUGUCCACGGCGCCCAACACGAGCCUCGUCAGGGUCCUGAAAAGGCGGGUUUUUGUUGCAAGAACAGCGGUUUAAGUUAUCGUCAGGUUGUAAAAAUUUUCCCCAGGUGGUACACGUCUGUCUUCUGUGGUGUAGUUUUUUUUGCCGCACGCCUAGUCCUGAUGGUGGUGCUGUAGUGUAGAGUUGUAAAAGGAACCCGUGUGCUUUCCACCUUGUCUCUGCUUCGUAGCUUCUGUACUGUUUUCCACGUAGGAUUGUGUGAAUUGUUACAGUUGGACAAGUGGUUAUACUUGUUUGCUUUUAAAUACAUAAUGAUGUCUUUUGAGGAACAAUUUCAUCAGAUUUAGCGGAAAUUGGCGUAACUUUUACCUGAGCUUUGGAUGAGGGAAAAAAUGUACUGCAGUGUAGUACUGAUCCGCUACUUUGAGAAUAUGAACUUGCCAACUUUCUUGUUGAAGUGAUAUGCAUUUUGCUGUGUUUUUCUCAAAGAAAAACCCUGAUUUCAGCAACUAGCUUGCUGCUGGGAUAAUGGACUCCCGUCAAUGGUGGAAUGGAAUGGGGAUUUGUGUUUCUCAAGCUGUCGUGCAUCGUGGAUGUGGUCAGCAGCCGAGUGAGCCCGGAGGCGACAGGGUUGAGAAGCCUACGACAACCAAGAACUACCCUGUACGCAGAAAAUGGGUUUCUUCUCCGGAGACACAAGCGAAUGGAACCACCUGUAACGGGAAAACCAGCAGCAGCAGCGGUGCUGCACCAGAAAGAGUAACUAGGAUCGAUACUAGAACUAGCAAGAACGGCGCGCUCCGCCGCGCCCGUAUAAGCAGCACGCCGGCGGUGGAGAAAGCAGGCGCGUCGCGGCCACCUCGGC